rnacentral:rRNA from 1 species
UACGGGGGGGGCAAGCGUUGUUCGGAAUUACUGGGCGUAAAGGGCUCGUAGGCGGCCCACUAAGUCAGACGUGAAAUCCCCGGGCUCAACCCGGGAACUGCGUCCGAUACUGGAAGGCUUGAAUCCGGGAGAGGGAUGCGGAAUUCCAGGUGUAGCGGUGAAAUGCGUAGAUAUCUGGAGGAACACCGGUGGCGAAGGCGGCAUCCUGGACCGGCAUUGACGCUGAGGCGCGAAAGCCAGGGGAGCAAACGGG